rnacentral:misc_RNA from 1 species
CUGCUUGCUUACGGUCUCGUUUCGGGCAACCGAGCGGGAUCGGGCACGCUACCCUUGCUUAUGUAUACCUAUUGUUAUUCCCUCGGUGGGGCAACCUGCCGCCGGGAUCUUACAAACACCCUUGUAUUAUAGCAUCAAAAUUUCUGAAAACAAACAAAUAAUUA